AGAGUUUGAUCAUGGCUCAGAUUGAACGCUGGCGGCAGGCCUAACACAUGCAAGUCGAACGGUAACAUUUCUAGCUUGCUAGAAGAUGACGAGUGGCGGACGGGUGAGUAAUGCUUGGGAACUUGCCUUUGCGAGGGGGAUAACAGUUGGAAACGACUGCUAAUACCGCAUAAUGUCUUCGGACCAAACGGGGCUUCGGCUCCGGCGCAAAGAGAGGCCCAAGUGAGAUUAGCUAGUUGGUAAGGUAACGGCUUACCAAGGCGACGAUCUCUAGCUGUUCUGAGAGGAAGAUCAGCCACACUGGGACUGAGACACGGCCCAGACUCCUACGGGAGGCAGCAGUGGGGAAUAUUGCACAAUGGGGGAAACCCUGAUGCAGCCAUGCCGCGUGUGUGAAGAAGGCCUUCGGGUUGUAAAGCACUUUCAGUUGUGAGGAAAAGUUAGUAGUUAAUACCUGCUAGCCGUGACGUUAACAACAGAAGAAGCACCGGCUAACUCCGUGCCAGCAGCCGCGGUAAUACGGAGGGUGCGAGCGUUAAUCGGAAUUACUGGGCGUAAAGCGCACGCAGGCGGUUUGUUAAGCUAGAUGUGAAAGCCCCGGGCUCAACCUGGGAUGGUCAUUUAGAACUGGCAGACUAGAGUCUUGGAGAGGGGAGUGGAAUUCCAGGUGUAGCGGUGAAAUGCGUAGAUAUCUGGAGGAACAUCAGUGGCGAAGGCGACUCCCUGGCCAAAGACUGACGCUCAUGUGCGAAAGUGUGGGUAGCGAACAGGAUUAGAUACCCUGGUAGUCCAC
rnacentral:rRNA from 1 species